CAAUACUGCGCAAUGGAUAGCGCGUUGGACUUCUAAUCCAAAGGUCGGGGUUUUGGAUCUCUCACCUGGGAUGA